AUUUAUGUGGUGAGAAAGAAGCAA
rnacentral:piRNA from 1 species